AAGGACAAGAGGUGAUUUACUUUGGUGAAGUCGAAGGAGAACUGUUACUUCCUGCAGCAGGAAACCACCUCCUGCAGAAAGAAGGUUGCAGGGUAACAUCUGAGCUGGAGCUGGGACUGCUGGGGGUCAGAAGGAGUGUUGAAAGGCAGGGAGGGAGCAAGGCAGAGCUGGGUCUGGCACAAACUGCUGGUUUUGGGGAGGUAUCAGCUCCGGGUUUCUCCAGGUGGGAGCAGGGCAGGGUGGGACAUGGGUCACCUGUGGGAGAAGCCCAGAGGCUGGUGCUUCUUCAGCCGCCCAGGCAGCAGAACACCCUUGGUGAUGCCAGCCUGUUACCCGCUCCUCAACCCCGUGGAGGCAAUGGCAGCUGUCACUGAGCUUGUUUCAGAUACCAAAACUGCUUCAGAAGAUGCCAUGGAUGGUGUGGCACAUCACACCCUGGCCGGAGGGCUGCUGUGUGCUCUCAUAUGGCCACUGUCCCCACUAAGGCUUUCUGUCACAACUGAAAACUUCCAGAGGGGAAAAAAAUGCUCUUUUCUCUUUGGUAAAAAAAGAUCUAGGCAAGCAGUAUCACAUGUAUUCCCUCAAAUAUUAAUAAAAAAAAUAAUAAUUCCAGUGGAAAACAGCUUCUGUUACCAGGAGUUCGCCACCUGAGUUGAAAUCCAUCCAAAGACUAUUUUCUUUGAGAGAUCAUCUCACGUGUUCCCGAUUACUGCUCAUAUUUAUGAUCAGACUGCUUAGAAAAAAAAAAACAAGAGGUGUCUUCACUGCCUGUGACUUGGCUCUGCCGGCCCCAGGACACGUGCCUGUGUGCUGAGUAUCUCCCCAUCGGUGGGGGUACACAGCGUUGCUGGCAGUGGGGCGGUUGUGGUCUGCGAGGAUGAAUGCUCUUUCUCUCCCCGGUGACAGUUGUGGUUGCUGAGGGGCUCCUGUUUGCUUUAAAAUCAUGUGGUGAGGCUGGUGGUGGUGGUAGAAGGGAAGAGAAGCAGGGGAGGGAUGGUUUGCCCAAAAGAAGGUAGUUACUGUUUAACUACACAGAUUCGCUGCCGCACACCUUCGUGUAAGAAGUUCACAAACUUCCUGCAAAUGCUGUUGCUGGGAAAGGGGAGUCUGCUUAAACCAUCCGCCUGUUUCUCUCCUUCUGGCUGCAGAAUGAGCAUUUGCUAUUCCUUUUCUGGAAGUGCUCCUUACCUGCCCCCGAGGAGAAAUGUUUGCCCCUGCCCUGCACCAGCACUUUUGCAGCCCCUUCCAAAAUUUCCUUGGAAGGAGCAGGACUUGGCUCUUACUCAGGAGGAGUGGCUCAGCACUUUUUAGACCUGUUGUUCUUUAACUGAAACUUUUUCCUAUCAGAAGAUAAAGAUGUUACAUGGCCAACCUUUCUGCCUGCAGACUGGAAUUAUAAAUGGAUGGCUCCAAUGUUUUGCUCAUGUCUUCCCACAUCCACAAAGGUUGUUAAAAAUUAGCUCCCAGUCAGGAACUAUUCAGAUACUUAUCUUAAUGUUUAAACAGCUGCUUUCCUAUCGGUGUCCUUGCCCAUGGUGUAUUCCCACAAACUGUCUGCUUUCAUUGUUGUGCAGGGUAGAAACAGAAGCUGACCGUCAGCAGCCUGCCGGUAAAACAUCAACUGGAGCAGUAACAACCAGAUAUCCUGGCAUGAUGCAAUCCAUAGAAAUUACUCUGAGAUGUUAACUUGGGGCUGGGUGGAGAGGGGAAUAGCAGAUGCACCUUCCUGCUGUUUAAAAUAUAGAUGGCAUUUAAGACUUUUAACUGUUUUCUUAAAACCUGAUUUGAUUUUCUAUUAUUUUCUGAAUCUUAAAUUCCAGCCAAAGACAUCCCCGAGCUAAGAAGAAACAAAUAAUUUUUCCAUCAAAGUCUCGGAGAGGUGAAAAUUUCAGGGGUUUUUAUUCAUACAGCUACAACCGCAGCAGAGCUCCUGGCUCUCCCCUCCUUCCUCCUCUCCUCCUGCCAAGUCUGCCGUUACAGAGAGCGAUGCCAGGCUGACACGGCAAAGCUCCAAGCUGGAAAACGUCCUGUCCUGGUGGUGGUUGGCAGUUUCCCUCCCGCUCUGUCAGCUAACCAGAGAUGCGCUUCCCUUGGGAAGGCAGGAAUCUUCAAGCACCUAAUUCUGCUCUGACAUCUGAUUUCUCAGAAAAAGUAUCCCAGUAUACAUCUCACCUGCAUCUGAGGAACAAUCCCACCUCAUCUGUGGACAAAAAGAAAUUGCAAUAGCCUACAAGAAAGUAUAGACUACACCAGUUGCUUUCCUGAAAUUUAAGUGCAAACUGAAAUUCUCAGAUGAAUUUGAGCAGAUUCGUACUUUUGUCACAGGAACCAAAGAUCUGAAGCCUGUCAAGGCCAAUUAGGCGGUUAUUGACUUCAGAGCACUUUGAAUUGGCUCUACAAGUAGCACCGUUAGCCCAAGUGGCCCAAGCACCUCUUCUGACGGCGUGCCUUCAGCGAUCUGUCUACAUUCCUCUGAAGAUGCAAGUUCAGCUUUGCUCUCAUUUACUCCUGGGUGAAGUUCUCAGCUUGGAGAGCAUUGAAGUAGGUCAAAAGAGAAAGGAAAUGUGUCAAACCAUCCCUCUCUCCUCCCAGUACCUAAACUUGCAAGCAAUGCUUUAUUUUAGAGAUAUAUGUACAUUCUUCCAUGAGCUUUUUUUUUUUUUUGAGAGCUGAUUUCUCUGUCUCUGCAGUGAAACCAUUAGUCACCAAAAUGGGCUACGGGUUGGGUAAAUACCUUAGGUCUUAUAGCUGGAUGUAAAACAUAAAUACCAACUGUUUUCAAAAAGAAUAUUGCAGAAAUGGGUUACUGAAUGAAUCGGUUUGAUAUCAGGCAUUUUAAAGCCUCACCUCCAUCACUAGUGACCAUCAUGUGUGUUCAGAGCUUUGGAAGAACAGCAGUUCAGAAACCUGACGGCAAAUAAACCUGACAGCAGAUAAACAACAGGCAGUGCUCCCACUCUGAGAUGAACACUUGUCUGGCCCUCAGAUACUGUUGAAACAGUAAUGUCAGUGCUACAGAGCCAGUGGUGCUGGUAGCAGCUUAAAAGCUAUCCAUUCUUUGGACCUCACAUCUUAGAGGUCCACCUCACCCCCCGGGGCCCAGGAUUCAACAGGAACAUCCAAAUCCAUACUUUGCCCAGCUCUGGCUAUUGACUCUCUUGACCGGAGGGAGAAGCCCAGUUCCCAGCUAGCUAAGCAGUAUGUUGUGAACGUUAAAGGCUGUGUAUCCUCGUGAGAGAAUUUGCUUUCCUUCCAGCUUUUCCCUGGAGUUCACAAAGUGCACCACAGUGCCUUUUUUGAUGAGUUUACAUUUUGUUUCAUCUAAAACAUUGGAGUUUUAUCCCUUUUUCAAAAUGAAAGACAAGUUUAGAAGACUUAAUUUCCCCCCAAAAAUGCCUGAAUGCGUAAAUCACCACGCCCUGCAAAAAAAGCCCAACCCAAAGCAGCCCACCAAACCCAUCAUGUGGUGGUGAUUUCUAAAUUCUCCUAACCCUCCUUUUGGUGAUUUGUAAGAGGAGGUGACAAACACAUCUAUUCUGUACAAACCCCAUUCUUUAGCUUGCGUACAUGUAUGUGUAUGCAUAGCUAUGCAUAUAUAAACAUACACGCAUAUAUACACGUAUAUAUGCAUGCAUGUAUGUAUGAGAAACACUGGAGUUUCAGGAAAUACAUCUCAACACUUGGAUUGCUCCAUCGAUCAGUCACUGGGAUUCACAGGACGACCUGUCAUGGCAUGGUGCUGUCUUAGGCCGUGCUCCUGCAGCUCAGCUCUCAGUGGGUGACUGCCCCCAGUAUUGGAAAGGCAAGACCUACAAUGAAGGGGAUGUCCAGUUGCCCCCCAGUAUUGGAAAGGCAAGACCUACAAUGAAGAGGAUGUUCAGUUGGAAAGGCAAGACCUACAAUGAAGGGGAUGUCCAGUUGUCCCCCAGUAUUGAAAAGGCAAGACCUACAAUGAAGGGGAUGUCCAGUUGUCCCCCAAUAUUGAAAAGGCAAGACCUACAAUGAAGGGGAUGUCCAGUUGCCCCCCAGUAUUGGAAAGGCAAGACCUACAAUGAAGAGGAUGUUCAGUUGGAAAGGCAAGACCUACAAUGAAGGGGAUGUCCAGUUGCCCCCCAGUAUUGGAAAGGCAAGACCUACAAUGAAGGAGAUGUCCAGUUGUCCCCCAGUAUUGGAAAGGCAAGACCUACAAUGAAGGGGAUGUCCAGUUGCCUCCAUCCAUGUCACUGCUCUUCUCCAUCAGACACUGGAGGAGGAAGCCUGGGAUCCCACUGGUAGCUCCGGGGCACGUACGCAAGAGCUGGAGAGCUCAGGAGACAAGGACCGGUGUUUACUACAGAGCUGAGACACUUCUUGCCUGAGGGAAACAGCACAAGAUUGUAGCUAAAUGCCAUCAAACAGCUAGAAAUAGUUGCUUUUAUUUGGGUCAGAGGUUGCCUGUGUCUAAAUUGGCUGCUGUGAAGGAGAAAAUAAAAACAAGAGGUGUGAGUCACCGGUUGCUGAGGGAAGGGACGUUGUAGAGGACUGUAAUGAAUUCCUCCCUGCUGCCGACAUCCCCCAAACUACUCCUGGGCUGUAGUUUGAUGAAGGCAAUGAAUGCUGAUAUUUCCAUGUCCAUAUACUUAUUUAGCCAAUGUUAGCAAACCAGUGUAAGCUCAAACACAUCAUUGCAUUGUUUUGUAUGCUCAGACCUGAGAGACUAUCAGAGCAAACAGCACUGAAAUGAUCUGAUUUCAUAGUCCUUAAUGAGUUUGCCAGCUAUGUGCUCUCAGAGACCUCUCACAUGCACUCAGCGUUGUACAAGGAAUGAAUAAGUAAGCUUUCACCCAGGGCCAGAUCUCUAAAAAAAAAAAGAGUUGGACAUCCCAACCUGUAAACUAUGGACUAUGGAGGCAGUUCUGAAAUGUCCUCUUGAAGCUAUGUUACUGACAAAAACUAGCAACCUUAGUAUUCAAUGAUUUUUUUCUUUUUUUCUGUUUUUAUAGUUUAUUAAAAUUCCUUUUCUUAUAAGAAGUCUUACAAGAAUUAGAUGGCUAGACGACUUACAGAAAACAAAUGUUACAGAAAUAUGAGUACAGCUGGAGCAAAUUCCCAUUUUAGGUAAACCAGAAAGGGAUUCAUAUUUUUAGUAAGUAGUUGUGUGUUUGGUUUUUGUUGUUUGGGUUUUUUAAUAUAUAGCUUUAUAUUACCCAUUCUAUUCUCAUGUACCCAAACUAUGUUUUCAGUAACAUUGCUUAUUCAUAUUCCACACAAGUCCAUCUAUUUCUGCAACAGCUUCUUCUGUUGAAUAUAGUAUUCCAGACAAGGACACACCAUUGAUUUAUACAAUAUUAUCAUUCAUUUGAUAACAUUUCUGUACCUUUGUUUGUAAUAGCAUUGAAAGUUGUUUGUUUUUAUUAAUGGAGUUACAUCUUCAGCACACAUAUUUACUGGAGAAUCCAUUCUGACUGAUAAGAUACCUUUGUGGAUGAAUAAAGUUAUUUUGGAUCUUUGAA